GUUCAAACACCGGUCCCCGUACCAUCACUGAAGUUAAGCAUCAUCGAUCCUGGUCAGUAUCUAGAUGGGUCACCGCUUGGGAAUACCAGGUGUAGU